CAAAUAUCAGUCCAUCUCCCCUCUCUUACCUACCAGUGAACGGCUGGUAAGUUCUUUGCUGCCAUGGAGGCUUCAAAAUUUUCGGCGAUGCAUUUCAAGCCCCAACUAAACCGUUCUAGUUUAUUCAGGGAUGCAAAAGAUGAUUUUGAUUGUAUCAUUGAGUUCAUAGUCAGAGGUAUUGGUGUAUGAGAAGGCAUGAAUCGAUAUAUGGUGAUGGACUCAAUGCUAUGUUCCCUUCAUAAUUCUAGAAUUAGUUAGGCCUUUGAUUUUGGUGAAUGAAAUCAAUGUUAUUAUUGCAAAUUGAAGUAUUUGAGGUGGUGUGAUAAUUUACAAAAUGAUUAUGAACGUAAGCACUGUUGCAUUGCAGAGAACAUACACAUUUACAUGUGUUAUGCACCAACAAUGGUGCGACGCUUCGUCAUCAUCUUUACCCUUGUUCUCACAGGCACAACAAAGUGGUUUUGAGUGGAAAUGCCAGAGUAGAAGCUACAUUUCCAGUGCUCAAACUUCACAGGAUCCAACAAUGUUCUCUGGUCGAGGGCAACCAUGUAUAUAUCGUGCAUCCUAGUGUGAGUGGCAUACCUGGUUGUGUCCUUGUGAUGGGGAGUUGGGAAUUUGUUUGCACGGACUACGAGUUCCCCCUUGAGAUUGAGAUAAUGGAUAUUAAGGUACAUGUAAGAGGUGAGCUUGCAUCCAGACAAAUUGGAUUAGACGUUGAAAAUUCCACCUUUUGGACCAUUGGUUCUCUCUUCCAUUAACUUAUUGAGGUUUUUACCACAAUGGCUGCAAUCUUCUUGUUAGGUACAAAUGCAAGCAUUUGGUUGUUUAUACUCAUCACCAUACAGGACACAUUCCCUUAAAUCAAAUUCAUCAUUAUUCCCCCUGUGUGCUCUCAUGUGAUAAAAGUUUUAAAUAUUCAUUUGACCAUUUAUACUAUAUCCAAGGCUAUAAUUUUUACUCUUUGACCCAUGACCAAUCUAGUUCAUGUUCGUUUUCUUAAUCUGAUGAACGAAAUAGAAUAAGUGAUAUGACCACGAGUGUUGAGCAUCAUUUUGAAUUUGGUAUUAGGCAUGGUUGAAGGGACGAAGUUUAUAGGGAAGAAGAUUGUGGUAAAUUGUGUCGUAUUAUUCACUUUGACUACCACUCUUUAAAUAGAGUUUUACAUCACUUGUACAAGGUAAGAUUUACACAAUCAUAGGAAAUAAAUUACUCAAUCAAUACUAAUUGAUUUAUGCUGAUUUUAUUCUUGUUUCCUUUUUUGGAUGAUUCUGAUAUCUUAACGUGAUCUUCUUCCUUGCUCAACACUCCCCC